rnacentral:rRNA from 1 species
UACGGAGGGUGCGAGCGUUGUUCGGAAUUACUGGGCGUAAAGGGCUCGUAGGCGGCCAACUAAGUCAGACGUGAAAUCCCUCAGCUUAACUGGGGAACUGCGUCUGAUACUGGAUGGCUUGGAUCCGGAAGAGGGAUGCGGAAUUCCAGGUGUAGCGGUGAAAUGCGUAGAUAUCUGGAGGAACACCGGUGGCGAAGGCGGGUCUCUGGGCAGUAACUGACGCUGAGGAGCGAAAGCAUGGGUAGCGAACAGG